rnacentral:rRNA from 1 species
AAUCAACGCUGGCGGCGUGCCUAACACAUGCAAGUCGAACGCGAAAAGGGCUUCGGCUCUGAGUAGAGUGGCGUCCGGGUGAGUAACGCGUGGGUAAUCUACCUUUGGGUGGGGAAUAACUAGUCGAAAGGCUAGCUAAUACCGCAUAACGCAAUUUUCUAUUAGGGAAUUGUUAAAGCAGUAAUGUGCCUAAAGAUGAGCCUGCGUCUGAUUAGUUUGUUGGUAGGGUAAUGGCCUACCAAGACUACUAUCAGUAGCUGGUCUGAGAGGACGGCCAGCCACAAUGGCACUGAAACACGGGCCAUACUCCUACGGGAGGGCAGCAGUGGGGAAUUUUGUCGCAAUGAGCGAAAGCUUGACGCAGCAACGCCGCGUGAAGGAUGAAAUCC